GAUGAUGAUGAUAAUGACUGCUG
rnacentral:piRNA from 1 species